AUACAAUGUCUUCCCACCUAGUGGGUGGGUGCUGGCCUGAGGUUCAGCUAACUGAACAAGAUACACAAAGCAAAACUUCCAGACAUGGGAAAUUGCUGGCUAUGCUGGAUAUCUGUGAGAAGCUGAGUGCCAUGAGCACUGGCUGGACUUCACAGUUUGCUAAAGAGAAGGUAUAUGAGACAGCCGGACUUGACAAAUGACUGAAGGGCAGCAGAAUCUUCAAAGGCUGAGCAAUUCCUGGAAAACUGGCAUAGUGAUACAUUGCAGAGCCAAGAUUAUCCAGACAGAAGCCUGUUCCUGGUCACUGCAACUUGUUCAAACUAGUUGUGAAAUUCAAUGAUAUCUGGACUCCAUCAUCUCACUGGUGGGUUUCUAGUGGAGUUCUGUGGAAAUCGGCUCUUGUCCUGUGCUGUUUAAUAUUUUCUUUCAUCUGUAUCCUGAAAGAAAAUAAUUUAAAAUCUUAGUUUCUGCAGGUCUGGAUGUCUCGCCCUCUCUUGUGAGAGAAUUUUUCAACUUCAAUAAAAUCCUGGGACAGGAUGUGUAACAAAGGAUUGCCUCUUUCCUGACUAAAAGUGGAGGGGUUUGUGGAAAGCAGCCUGAUAAAAAGAAGUGAUGAGGUGAGUCUCUAUGCUAAUGUAAAUUUUACCUCUCCUUUGUAUGCAUGACUAGAAUAAGUAAAAAGAAGCAAAUGGAUUUAUGGCUUAAAUUUGUAAAUUUUUUACUUGUUUUAUAUUCAGGACAGUAAUGUAAAUUACAUGAUUUGUUCAGUGUGGUUAUAAGAAUAAGUACAUUUUUUGUAAAAGGCCGAUUAAACUAAAUAGCUUCAUUUGCCCUCAGCAAUGGCUAUAAUGAACAAUAAUAGAGUAGGCUGAGUUUGCUGUAUGUGGCUUUGGAUGGGUUUUUGUAGGCUUUUUUAAAAAUUUUUAUUUCCCUUUGUGACAAAUGGCUUUGCUUGAAUAGCUUGCCUUGUUUGGUGUGAUUGGUGUCCAGACUGAGUACAUUAGGAAGCGAUGAUACUUAUCUGUGUGGUUCACAUGCUAAUUAAAUUGACUUUACCAAAGCAUACAAAUGUCUCCCAUUAUUUUCUUUUCUCUCACCUUGUGUCAAUACAUUUCUGUAAUAAAUCAGAAAAUCUUUAUUCAGCAGGCAGAUAGUAUUUGAGAAGUGCAAAAGAUGUAUUCAUUUCGACAAUUUUUACUUUUUUCAGAGACUAGCUUGCAAAGGCAGAAAAGUAUCAGGAAAGAAAAUCUUUCCUAUGCCGAUUUCUUUGGUUUGUACAUCAUGAAAAGAAAAGAUAAACUGAUGGGCUGCUUAUUCAUAAAUUGAAAAGGUAGAUUUAUAUGACAGCUUAAAUGAGGUCUGGCAAAAUCCACUUUUAAGCUUGGGUUUUUAUAUUGUGAGAGCUGUUUAACUAAUCAAACAAAGGUGGUGUUUCAUGAAUAAUUCAUGGUGCAGUGCCUGUGAAGGAGCAGGCUGUAAAUACCUGCAGCAGAACUCCAGUGACACCAUAAUUAGCACCUGGCUUUGGCUGGCUGAUGAUGUCACCUUGCUCUGACGUGUAAUUAUAACAUGACCUGUUGAUGAAAUUGUUGGUGUGUAAUAUUUCCCCUCUCCAGUGGCAUGCACUCUUUUACACAAACAAAGGAGAGGGGGUGGCCCUCCCAUCCAUUAAUCCCAGCUCAGUAACCCCUGCCUGCACCCUGCUUUACCUCUUAACACCCCUUGUCAUCCUACAUCCUCCUUUUCUUCUUUUAUUCACCGUGAUCUUCCCUCCAACAUCCUGCUAACACCAUCAAGGGAGAUGUCAUUUUUGCUGUUCCCACAAAUUUUGAGUAUUGGACCUGCAAGUAACAUGUCUAAUUAAUCAGCCUGAAAUGCCCCCAGUCAGAAUUUCUUUGGGUACAAAGCAAAAGUUACCCGUCAAAAUUUUGUUGACACCAUUUUUGUUGUUGUUUUUUUAAUGAACACAUUGCUAACUUUACUUGUAACUGAUAUGGAAAAGCACAAUAUUAUCUCUUUAACUUUACCAGACUUACGGUAAUUUGUGAACCAGUAAUUUCCUUUCUCUGAAUCUCAGAGGUGUUUACACAACAGUGAAUUGCUCAUUUGUGCAGAAUGAAUUUUAUUCAAGGCAGUGUCCUGGUUGUUAUCUCCUCAAUGAUGUCUUCCACAGGUGUUUGGAUUUGUAUUGCUGCUGGUUAGUCUGUGAUGUGUGUUCAUUUAGGGAUGUAAAUAUUGACCAGGACUCUGCAUUGUAAUCACACAGCUCUCUGGGACUGAACUCACAGUCUCUGCUCCCAAAGUGACAAAGCUAUCCACAGAGCCAGAAUAACACAUGGGCAAAUGACAUUUCAUAAAGCAGCUGGAGUGAUAUUUCUUUACUUGGAACCUCUUGUUUUUUAUGACUGAGACUCAGGUGUGAAUUUAUGUUUGGAAAGGAAUGUUGGUGGCAAAGAGAAAAAUGAAACUUUUUCCUUUGUCAGACAGUCUUAUAGAGAUAAGUAUUUCCAAUAAUUACAAGCCAGGGAGACACAUUAUAGCAGCUCCUUGUUUAAAGGUUUAGGAAUAGUCAGAGGCUUGCUUUCUGCAUUGGGCCAUAUCAGUCAGUACCGGCAGAUAGGGAAGGCAGCAAAACCUCUUUAAUCUUGUAGGAAAGAGUAAAAUUUGUGAUUUAUAGGCACUUCCUGUUUAGAGAACUGAGUGCAAUUUCCAUUUGCAAUGGGCAAUGCUGAAGCGCAAGGAGGGUCACUCUGCCAUCUGUGUGUACAGAAAUAUCCUGCCUGGUAACAUGGGGCAGUAACUAACUGUAGGAACUUGCUUCUUUAGUCUUACACACAAAAUUAACCUCUGGCUAAUUACAGUUCUGGCAACAAAAUUUUUGUUAAGUAUCUUUUACUUUCUUUCUGUGAUUUAGAAGUCUUUUAGGGUUUUUAUGAGAAGGUUUGUUACACUGUUUAUAUCAUCACACAAAGGACGAUGAAGAAGAGGCAUGGGACCAGGAGACACUACUUGGCUGCUGAACAGUGACCAAUAUUUCCACAGAUGAUAAUUAAGUGAUCGUAAAGCCAAAUAUUAUCAAGAAAUGAAGGAGAUGAUGUCUGAUUGAAGAAUGAGAUUGAGAGUCACAGCCUCUGCAGGCUGAGGAUUUGCUUUCAUUUUUUUUUAUGGCUUAAACUCAGCAAGUGCUUGUGUGUACUAGAGCAACGAGCCCUCUGUGCAGGUGUGAGAGGGACCUCUCAUCUCUGCUGAGAUGCUCAUGGUUGAAUAACUGAGCUACAGGCAGCCCUUCUUCUUGCAUGAGCCACUGAGCUGCAAAAUCGGAGAGUGUCUGCACAAACACGAACAUGAUUGCAUCUGACUCUUGUACCCAGCGUGGAGAAGUUGCAUAUUGCCAUUCUGUGGGCUAAAUGAUAUCUAAGCCCAAGACAUAACAAUGAGGCAAUUCCAGUGUUUGCAUAUGAAUUUUUAUGGCACUAGCACAUUAUUGCAACAGUUUAGUACUGUGGCUAGCAAAAAUGUACAACAAAUUUUGUGGGGAUUGAUUUUAAAUUGACAGAAAACAUGGUUUCCCAAAAUAUCUAAUGUUUUUCACUCUAUAAUAAAAAUUUAAAAUGAACUCUUUCUAUUUGCAGAAUCACAAAAUAAGCUGAGUUGGGAGGGACCCGUUCCAUCCACAAGGAUGGAGUCCAGCUCCUGACCCUGCACAUCACCGCCUCCAGUAAUCACACCAUGUACCCAAGAACAUUGUCCAAACGCUUCUUGAACUCUGUCAGGUUUGGGACUGUGUCCACUUCCCUGGGGAGCCUGUCCCGGUGCCCAACCACCCUUUGGGUGAAGAAUCUUUCCCUGAUAUCCAACCUAAACCUCUCCUGACACAACUUCAAGCCUUGGGUCUUUAAAGAUUCCUUUUUAAAACUAAUGUUAUUGUUAUUAUCCUUGCCUCAAUAUUUUGGCAGUUAAUGCAAAAGUGAGAAUUUUUGCUCAUUUGUCUGUUUAAAAUGCUUUCCUAGUUCUGAGAAAUAAUUAUAAUACGAGUUAAUAAUAUGCUUUUCUAGAGUUAGGAAAACCCUCAAAUUGUCAAAUCUGAAUGAACUGUCUCCAUGGAAAUUUAAAGAUAAAGCAAAAUAUGUAGGACCAAUCUGAAAAAAAAAAAACAAUUUUUAAUAAAGAUAAAGUAAGUUUAUGCAGAAUAAGAGGUAAGAUUUCCAAUACCUCUACUGUUCCUCCUCUCACUUUUUUUUUCCCCCUCCUUCCUUACUUUGGGACUAUCAUUUGCCAGAAGUGAUUACCAAAGACAAAAAAAAAAAAAAAAAGGUUUUCUCCUGUAUUUCAAGUUCUUGUUAGCACAGAGGUCUGGAAUGUUAAUUACAGAACUCAAUUAUCUCAAGUUAAAAUUCUAUUAACCAUGCAGGAAAGAAAUGGAGUUGUCAAGGUAAAAUGAGCUAAGCGAAGUGAAGAGUGGAUGGGCUACGGUCAUAGGAUGGAUACAGUGAGUAAUGGAUUUUCUGUUAACAGAUUUCCUGAGAGAUAGCUACUUCGUUUCCAUCUGCCUGGGGAUUUCAAGUCCUACCUUUCCUAGUCUCUAUAGAAAAAUCAAU